CUUUUUUUGUGUGCCAUUUCUGCUUUAUUAGAGAGUCACAGUUCAGAGAGACAGGAAAGGCAGGACAGAGUGGGGAUGACAUGCAGCAAAGGAUUCGAACCUGGGCCUCUGCAGUUGAUACACGGAUGUGUAGAACAGAAGAUCAAAGGCCAAAAAGAGAUGACUUUUCAUCUUGGUAAUGGUCCAUCAUCUGCAAAGUGGGAG